rnacentral:rRNA from 1 species
UACGAAGGGGGCUAGCGUUGCUCGGAAUCACUGGGCGUAAAGCGCACGUAGGCGGAUUGUUAAGUCAGGGGUGAAAUCCUGGAGCUCAACUCCAGAACUGCCUUGAUACUGGCGAUCUUGAGUCCGGGAGAGGUGAGUGGAACUGCGAGUGUAGAGGUGAAAUUCGUAGAUAUUCGCAAAGAACACCAGUGGCGAAGGGCGGCCUCACUGGCCCGGUACUGACGCUGACGGUGCGAAAGCGUGGGGAGCAACAGGAUAAGAAACCGAGUACGUCCGAGACCAACGAUGCUCUCGUCACCCGUA